AACUCUUGGCAGUGGCUCACUCGGCUCGUGUGUCGAUGCAGACCGCAGCCAACUGUUUGAAUAAAUGUGCAUCGGAACACGCUUAAAAUAUCCACUUUUGGAUGCAAAUUGCAGCCGUUAGCCUGUCUGUGGUUACGUCUGGCAAAGGAUCG
rnacentral:rRNA from 1 species